UACGGAGGGUGCAAGCGUUAUCCGGAUUCACUGGGUUUAAAGGGUGCGUAGGCGGGCAUUUAAGUCAGUGGUGAAAUACCUGAGCUUAACUUGGGAACUGCCAUUGAUACUAUUUGUCUUGAAUGUCGUGGAGGUUAGCGGAAUAUGUCAUGUAGCGGUGAAAUGCUUAGAUAUGACAUAGAACACCUAUUGCGAAGGCAGCUAACUACGCGAAUAUUGACGCUGAGGCACGAAAAGCGUGGGGGAUCAAACAGG
rnacentral:rRNA from 1 species